AUUGUGGCGUGCAGGCUCUGUGCUGCAGAGGCUGCGGUCACCCUGUUAGUAAAGAAGACCAGAGCCGCUGCUUGCUGCUUAUCUCUCAAGGUGGCUUUCUGCUCAGCUUCAAGCUUUGGAGUCAGUUCACUGAUCUUCCCACUGUAGUAUUCUAUACUGUCCACCUUUUCCGCAAGACCUAGGAAGCCGGUUUUGUUUGUGGGUCUUACUCCAUCCGGUUUGCCGGUUGUCUUUGAUUCUGCAUAAAUUGUUUCAGCACGUGCAAGCUUUUUCUUGUACCCUUCCAACUCUUUGUAGAUUUUGUUAACCUACAUGAUAACAUAUAUAACAAGGAAAGGUCUCUCAAUGGAUGAAAUCAAAAGAUGAAAGAACAAGUUGUUCUGCUAUGCCUACAUUCUCUGUCACGAUAUAUGACCAAAACUUUCACGAGAGGAACUUUUAAGUAUACAACAGAUCUUUAUCCCUCCAAGUAUCUCCGGGCAUGGAUGAGAUAAUGCCUCUAUGAACAAUACGGGGUUUGCGGCAGCGGCAUGGUAAAGAAGUCCAUAAACCAUGAUUUUUUUUAUUUUUUUUUUAAAGGUUGAACUGGGAAGUAAACUACGGUAUAUUGAAUACUGCAUUCCCAACCGCUCUCUUGGUACUGGAAAACACCUAUUUUGUCCUUUAAUAAAUCAGAGAGCACCCAUAGAGUGGGGUAAGGUUCAACCAUGAUUGUUUUCAAUGCACAUACAAUGAAGUCAUGACCUCAACUAUUUGUGUUAAGUAGGACUAUCUGUCUACGGUGGUCUUAUUUUGGUUCAUUAAUAGUAGCGCGGCUACUUCUGCCAUAUGACAAACCACAUAAAUGCACUUUUUGUUUUGUGACUUCAUAUCACACUACCACUAAAAACUGCCCAACAAACUGGUAUCUCCCUUUUAUUUGGUUCUUUCCUUGAGAACAUUUACAUAACAAAAGGGUUCAAUGCUCAUUCAGCCCCACAAUAGUACAUAAUUACUCAUCAAGCCCCACAGUAAUUUAUAAUCCUCCUAGAAUAGAAUCAAUUAUUAAAAGGGUCCAGAGCCAACCAGUACCAUAAUAAAUAGCACCAGCUGCACAGCCACUGUGGUGGAGAAAUCAUUAAGACUAGCCAUCAGGAAUCACAGAGUUCUUUUUUACGAUAUUCUUUCACCUCUGUGUAUUCUAGCCAGCAGCCAGAUACUUAAAAUAGUUGCAAUAUAUACUCACGUGCAUUUAGAUAUAGUUAUACAAAGGACAAAGUCUGCAGAACUAUAAAGCAAGAUUAGCAUAGCAACAAAUGAGGAACAAAUGGAGUAUUAUAGAAAGAAACAUUAUAAAAAGCAUACCUCUUUAUUAUUAGUCACUAUCAUCGACCCGUAAAAUGUAUCGGGAUAAAUAGAUUUGAAAUAUGAAUCAACUUGAUCCUUCAUAGUUUGACCUUCUGGGGCAGGAGGUAUGUCUCUCACAAGGACAGCAAAUUGCUCUGCUCUCACUUCGGGAGAUAUUAAAGCAGCUACUCUCAAAGCUGAAAUGUGUUUGUAUGCCUUCCACAACAGGCAGUAUGCAACGAUUGAGACCCAAUAAGUAGCUAUCAGGAAUGCCCACAACCUUGAACUUUUCUCCUGUACAUACAAAAGGAUGUGACUUAGAAAAUUAGCACUGAUUUUCUCUACCAACAACAUUGUCCACCAAUUCCUUCCCCACCAAGUAUGAUAUGAUGAAUACCUCCAUAGUUUCCAAAAUCCACUUCAAUCAAUGUCCUAAAAUUAUGGUAGAAAUAGGGAAUAAAACAUUUCUCUCUACCCUUGAUAAGACAAGAAAAAAGAAAGUCCUUGUACAAGAGUUCUAAAACUUACUGCCACAUUUCUCAUUGACAACUUCUCAAGAUCACUGAAUAUCCCAUUGCUGGUUAUGUCUGAUGAUGUGUUUGGAGUUUUUUCAGUGGCAGCAACAGGUAGAAGAACCGGCAGUAGCACAAUGCCGGAUAAUACUAAAAUUCCCAACACUGUCACGGAGUAAAAAGGGGAGGAGUCUUCAGAAUUCUCACUUCUACAGACGGCGGAGUGUUUCAAAUAUACAAGCACAAGAGUUCAUCGAAAACAAUACAAGAAAAACUAAAGUGAAAGCUUCCACAAUUAUGGAAUCUAAAACAUGCAAAACAUAGUUCUAACCAUCCAGGGGAGCUUGAUACCAAUAUGUAUGUCGUAAAUCGAGUGAUUGUAAAGAAUACGCAAACGGGAAGCAAAGGAUGAUAGAAAAAUGGCAACUUUAGGCUUCCUUAUAAAUCCCACCUCAUUUGUAUCGAGAAUUUCAAUCGCCUUUAAUUAUUGAUAGCUGACGACAGAUAUUAUUAGAUUGCCUGCUAGUAUGUGGAACUGUUAUGUAACUAAGAAUGCCAAAAGUAAUUUAAAUACACGACCAACCAUUACUUUCCAAUAAAUAGGAUUACACAGGUAAAAUUCUCAGGAAAAUAGAAAAUCUACUUAUCUUUUCUCCUUAAAAUUAAGAAAUCCAUCCCCCCCCCCCCCCCCCAAUCAAAAUCUGAUUAUAGCUAAUAUUUCUAAAGGUGUCAAAAUGGGUUUUAGACCCAUAUAUGAACCACUUAAACAUAAAUGGGUCAUAUAUGGACUCAUUCACUUUUUGAAGAGACUAGUUAAAUGAGUUUAAAAAUUGAGAGAUUAAGAUAAAUGAAUCUUAAAUGGAUUGGACUUAGAACUCCUUUCCAAUCCAAACCUCACACUCUCUAUUUCCCUCUUUAACUUUAUAAAAAUUGAAAUUAUAAUUAUUUAUUAUUUCUUUUUUCUUUUCUUUUUUAUUCUUUGCUUCUUCUUUUUUUUCUUUCUUCUUCCUCCUUCCUUAGCCAGUGGCUGGCACGGCAACGGUCAGCGAUCGACCAAGUGAGCCUUGAGCUCACCGAAUUUGACAAGGCGGAGGCCUCAUCGACGUCUGGUGAGACUUGAGCUUGCCAUUGUCAAGCGAGCCCAAGCUCAUUAGAUCUAGUGAGGCGGAGGGCUCACCAAUGUCUAGUGAGCCUCAAGCAUCGGUGAGCUCGAGAUUGCCUAUGGCUGGUUGCUAGCUGAUAACGGUAGAAGAAGAAAAAAAAGAAAAGAGAAAAAAAUUUUAAAAAUAUAUUUUUAAGUAAUAAAAAAUAAAAAAUAAAAAAUUUUGUGACUCGGGAACCGCUGUACAGCCGGCAGUCGGCAGCAUAAACCCAAGGCAAACCGCACCCACCCACCUGACCCGGCCGCGGUUGAGUCGCACAAGCGGCCGCAAGAAUUUGAACUCGCUCCCUUUGCAGGAAGGAGCAAAGCACAAACCGCGCGACCACCAAUAGAGUGAGUAUAAUUAAAAUUUUGAUUUCUAAAAAAAUUAUAAAAAUUGUCCAUUAAAUUUGUAUUGCAUGAAAGUAUUUUAGUAAUACCAUUUUUUAGAAAAAAAUAUCUUAAGAAAUAAGGUUUCUUAGAUUUAGUUAAAUGGGUCAUGUAUGGGUUAAAAAUUUUGUACUAUAAUAAAUGGGUCAUAAAUGGGUUAAAUGGGUUGAUUUGAGUCAUACCAUUUAUGACUCAACUCAAACUUGGCUCGAUCUACCUAUUUGACAGGUCUACUAAUUUCCCGCAACAAUAGAAUGCAAGUAUGGUGAGUGCCUCGCCAUAAACUCUUCCGGUCAGGUACAACAGUUAGUGCAAGCGGUACGUAUCACCAGCCCCACGGUAUGCGUUCAAAUAAACGGUUGGGUUCACCAACCACGACACGAAAAGUAGCGAUGACAAUCAGUUAGACAAUGCAGCAGCACAAAUUGCAGGUGCUGAAGGCUUUAUGCAGGAGUGAAAGGAUAAAUAUUUGGCACUAGAAACUCGAAAUCCACUCACAAUCACGAAAAAAGGCCUAUUUUCGGAUUGCGGUCAAGGUGAGUCUAACUUCUUACUGCACAACUUGUGCACUUAAUCAAGUGAUGAAGGAUUGGAUUCCGGUAAAGGCAUGCAAGUGAAAUGCCGCUAGAAUUGUUAAUGUAGCCCUUGAAAUGGACUGCCCUAAAGGCAUAAAUUAACAACGAAUCUACCUCUAAAAUCCAUGAAACAGACUGAAAAUCAUACCAUAAACGAGCCAAACCAAACCAACACCCAUAAAAGAAAGAUCAACGAACCAAAAAGUGAAGCGAUCUAUUCACCUGAGAACCACCAGAAAACACAAAAAGAAGCGAUCAUAUUCAGAAAGAACGGACCACCAGUCCCACUCGAAUUGCAAAAAGACACAUCCAAGCGCCGAGUUCAAACCAACCCAUAAACAACGACGGACCCAGCCGCCUCCGGCAGCUGGUACUCCCCCAGAAGAAUCACCAACGUCUCAUUACAAGCACCCAAACAAAGCAAGAAAAGAUCAGACAACUGAAAGAGAGAGAGAGAGAGAGGCACGGCACACACCGGUACUGAGGAAGACGAAGUAGACGGCGGUGUCGACGCCGGACACGGCGAUGACGUCCUGCUCGGAGGAGGAGAGGGCCUCGCGGAUCCAGGCGAAGGGGUUGCGGGAGGAGUGGUUGCCGCCGUCGAAGGGGUCCACGCCCCUGAGGAGGCGGUUGGGGUAGUACACCACCUUGUUCCCGGGCCGGACGGACAGCCACGCGAAGAGGACCAUGAGGACGACGAAGAUCACGAAUGCCGUGAUCAGCGACGUCAGGUAUGAGCUGAAAUCCAUCCAGGUCUUUCUGCUAUUGCCUCCUAGUCCUCGUCACUAAGCUCUGUCAACGGUGUCAGGGAGAGCGAGGGGGGGCGGCCAUGGUAGUGGUGGAGUUACUAUAACUCAAAGAUGUGGACGGGAGAAAGAGAGGGGGCAAAGACGGACAAAGCCGUCGGGUUUAAUAAUAGAAAAAUUCGAUUGUGGCCUCGUGAAACACCUUGCUUUUGCUUGCUCUCUCUGUGUGGGAGUUAUCUUUCUCCAUUUUCUCCGGAUUUGUCGUGGAUUGAGUCACGUCAUUCUUUUAGUGCAGACCUCGUGAAACACCUUGCUUUUGCUUGCUUCCUCUGUGUGGGAGUUAUCUUUCUCCAUUUUCUCUGGAUUUGUCGUGGAUUGAGUCACGUCAUUCUUUUAGUACAGAGAGAGAGAGAGAGAGAGAUGAGGAACCCUAGUUUCCACAAGUAUUCGCUCCUUUCCAACUGGAUGCAACACUUAAUUAUCUCCUCCUCGAUGAGUCCAAACGUUAACAGUCGCGAGAAGAUGUGUAAUUAUCAAUCCAAUGUACUACGGAAAGGAGCUCUCUAGCUCCAUAUCAUGGAUCUUCUGUUGUUCUUCAACUACCGAUCCUCUCGUGAAAGGAAUCUUUAGCUGUUCCCCGUGAAAGAAGUUAGCCAAGCGAUACUCUCUUCAGAGAAACAAAACCACAAAACACUUUUUGCACUCGUCCUAGCCAUUGUAUCGGCAAGAACCUUCGGCACUUCCAUCCGCUUUUCAUGCAAAAAACCAUCGUUAAAUUUCGCAAUGUCACCUGAAAAGCGCACCCAUGCAAGUGCACAAAGUUUUGCUUUUGGAGUGUCCCACAAGAAAUCAUAGAAUUAGUGAUAUUUCUUCGUGCCGUUUUUUCAUUCUCCUCACUGACCCUAAGAGAUCGGAGAUUAUAACCAUCGCCACUAACAGGUACAAAGUUUUGUGGCCAACUUUUUAGCAAUUUUAAGGGACGAUAUGUUCUUUCUUCACUUAUCAUGCUACUAAUAAUAUGGAAGGGUGCCCAGAACAAAACAAAACAAAAAUCGAUGGCACUUUGUAAUCGCCACCAGUAUAUUGUCGCCAAAGCCAAGUGCGUCGGUGCCCUUAAACCUGGAGCGAACAUCUCCCAUGAGUUGUUCCAUCAGAUUGGUUGAACUCGGAAUAAUUAGUUUGAUAAAUUUAAUGAUAGUUGCGUAAUUUAUCUUUCUCACAGGUUUUGAAAAAAGGAACGCGAAUUGGAAACCUUUACCUCGCUAGCUGCUCUCUCUGUGAUGAUUGAUGGUGGGCAAGCCUUAGCGCUGUGGGUUUAUAUAUAGUGAACUUCGUUCCUAUCUAGGUGGUCGGAUCAAAUGAUGCCGUUUCGUCUUCCACCACCCCCAUCCUCCAUUUCUUCGUUGGGCGUGGGCCUGGCAUUUUCUCUGUUCAUCACUAACAUAGACUUGGACUUUCUGUUAUCCAUAUUUAAAUUGUUCGCAAAACCGCCGCCCCCGGCAUGCAUCCUCUAGCAGGCGCCAUGCCACCGCCACUUCAUCGCUUGCCAUCGCGAACUAUCAACAAAAGUUGGGGCAAUUCCCAUGGCAGACGACUGUAGUGAGGCAAGGAUUGGUAUACCCAGUCGCCUCCUCGGGCCGAGGUUUCAUCCCAACAUCCCCAAAUCAGUUGGACCACAUUGCGAUGUGUCAUUCCAUCCCCGCAUCCGUUAGGGUUUUUGGUCCCUUCUCAUCAGAAACAACGCUUUUCCCCUUCCCUUCCUCUUCCCAAAUUGCAAUGGCUAUAAAGAACUCAAGUUUUUAAAAAAAAAAAAAAAAAAUCUGCAUCCUCUUCCACUCUCUCUCUCUCUCUCUCUCUCUCUCUCUCUCUCUCUCUCUCUCUCUCUCUCUCUCUCUCUCUCUCUCUCUCUCUCUUCAUUCGCAGAUUUUGGCGACGGAUAAAAGCUGCCUAGAGUUUCUCAUCGCAGGGCUUUGUUGACGGAUUAGAAAGACGCUCAAAGUUUCUCAUCAUAGGAUUUUGGACCUACCUAGAGUUUUUCAUCUCAGAUGUCGAAGCUGUCCGAAGUUUGCCAUCCUAGGACUUGAUAUGCCUUUACUUGAAUUGUGUAAAGUUUUUCACUUAACAUUUGAAUUAUCUAAGGGUUUUCACUUAUUAGGAUUUAAAUCAUCUAAAGUUUUUCACUCAUAACAUGGAUUUCUUAAAAAAACCAAAUGAAAGACUUUUUGCCAAAAAAAAAGACUUUUCACUCGUUCUCAUUUUGAAGGAUAAUUUGUCAUGACCAUUGAUGUGGGAACAAGAGAAUCCCUCUAUCUUAUCGUUAUCAUCAUAUUUACAAGAGUCCAAGUUGUCUCACGAGCAAUAUAACCUUAUCAAUUUAAGAGGUCUUUUUAAUAGGACCAUAACGUAGGAGUUGUCAUCGGCUUUGCAAAAUGUGAUUAUUCAAUUCGUAGCUUUGAAAGGAAUAUUCUUCAUUAAUUUGGCAUCUCCAUCGGGAUUACUAGUCAAGAAUCAUGCAAAUGAGACUGAAGCAACCUUGGCCACACUUUUUUGGGAGAAGCUUUUAACAUUUGAAUCUCCUAUGUUAAUUCAAGUGCCCUAUUCAGUAUAAGGGAUGUAAUGUAAGCUUGGUUAAUGGGUUGAGAGACGAAAGGAUUCGUUAGGCUCAACAACUUUUCAUUGAAAGGGUUUGAAGUUGGCAAGCAUCUCGAUAUCAUUACCAAUCUUCUCCUUCGUUGGGAUUGUCUUCUUGUAUAGAUGCAUCUUCGACCACGAGGGUCCUACACUGUUUUUUGAAAUUUGUGAAAUCACCAACCCUUUCAUUGGGAUUGACUUUGCAAGUUUAACAUAGACACUCUUUCGUUCUCACCAACAAUUGGGCCUUGCAUCAACAUUUUUUUCGCUCUUCUUUUUUUUUCUCACUUUUUUGCUCUAGUUUUCGAACUUUUGUUUCGAAUUUUUUUUUAUCUCUUUCUAUCUUUUUGUCGAUUUUUUCACUUCUCUUUUUUCCUGACAUUUUUCUUGCAAUGCAUUCUGUAAAUGCUAGUACAAGCACCUAGAGGGGGUGAAUAGGUGCGAAAACAAAUUUUUGUAGAGUAUAGUGUAAAACUUUACUUUUAACUGAGUCUGUUUAGCAGAAGACUUUAAAAAGAAAAGAGACUCUAACAAUUAAAUAAAUUUACGAACAAAGUAAAUGAGUUUAGGAAAGAAAAUAAGAACACAAGGUUUAUAGUGGUUCGGCUUAAUCCAAGCCUACGUUCACUCUCCCACACUGACGGCCCACCGGCUGGAUUUCACUAUGAAUCAAAAGAGUCGUUACAGUUUCACGUCCUUGAUUCCACAGUGUAGAGAUUCUGCUACACUUCCUCAAGGUCUCACAAAUGUAUAAACUCUUUUUGAGUACAAGUUUACACUCAACAAUUGAAUUGGCAAAGAACAAGGAACUUCAGACUUUGGAAUUUAUCUAUCGCACACACACUCGAAUAACUAGAGCGUCUUCCUUAUAUACUCAUCCAUGCCUUCAUAACCAUUGACACUUUCCAAAUGAGUUCUUCCAAUUUAUCCGUUGGGCAUAAUUAAUUAGGGAGAUCUCAAGUUAUUUAAGGAAUAUGACGAUAGCCCACCAAUCCUGCUCGUCCAUACAAUCAGAAUCUAAGUUUCCAUAAGUAGAACCUUUUAAGUAUGCUUCACCAUUCAACGGAUCCAAUUUACCCAAAUUAAUUUCAAGAAUAAUAAAUUUCGAGAUGCUAUCUCCAAUCGAGAGAUCUUCUUUAGUUGAUCGAAUCAAAUCCUUAAAGAAAUACUUAAUUUUGGAUAAAACUUCUUCAACUGUAUAGAAACUGUCAAUGAAUGCAAACUUUGAGUCUUGAGUCUAGCGGUCUUCAAACUUUGACGCAAAAGUCUGCAAAUCUUCAGAUUAGACUGAUGGAAACGUUUUAUCAACUUCAAAAUAAAUAAUGAAGUUUUCUCCAACAAUCUCCCCCUUUUUUAUGGUGACAAAACUUUCCUGCAAAUUUGGAUUUUUUUUACCUCAAGCAAACAAGGAUAUCUCACAAAAGAUAAAUGAAUUAGUAAAGAUAGCAUUAAAUCUGCAUCCAGAGGAGAUAAGUUAGUCCUGUAAAAACAACUAUCUUUGCCAAGAAUACCAACAACGCUUAAGAUACUGCAAUCAUUAAACGAUCAAACAAACCAAAUUCAAACCAGUCACAACCAAACAACCAAACAAAAGUAAAGUCAAUCAAAAGUCAAAUCAAAUAAGAGUCAAAUCUCAAAUAUUCACCCCAUCUCCCCCUUUUUGUCAACAUUAGAAAGGUAGAGACGAAAAGAGAAUGGAAGAAAAUUAAGAUUGUUUUGGAACGCAAAUAAGUUGGAAAUCUCCCAUCGACUGGACAAUCUCUUCCAACUUUUUUAAAUCCUCCUUCAAUUGCACCACUUCUUCACCCGUGGCAGUUGCUUGAACUUGAAGAUUAAGGGCUUGGAUUUGAUCAUGCAAAGAAAUUGAAGAGGCUUGACUGGCAUUCUGCAUAUUCUAAACUUUGCAUCCCAUGGCAUAAAUCUGGCCUCGCACCUCCGUAAGAACAUCAAGCAAUCUUCGAAAGUUUGCUAAGUUGUCAAUCUGAGUGUUUGUUUCUGCAUGAUCAAUUUGAGGUGUAUUGGCAGAUAUGGAGAUGAAAUCUUAUGACCUUCCUUAGGAAAUUGAGAGGCAUAUACAUCUUCUGGAUCACAGGUGAACGGCUAACAUCUUCAAUAGUAAAAGCAAUUGAAGAGGUACCUCUUUUCUCAGCAGUUCCUCCUAUUUCAAUGCCUUCAAGCGGAGAGAAGUACUCUUCAUGCUUUGUCUCUUCUCGUUCUCCUCUGCCCUCUUCUUUUGCAGGUCUUUUCUACCUCUGCUUCUUUUCUCAUGGAUUCCCUCUCUUCACUCCUUUUCUCUGUCUCUUCUUUGUCUUGAUCCUCUCUCUCCUCUGUCUCUGGAACAAAACGUUGUAAGCUUCUUAAUGCAAAAGCGAAAAUGGUGACAUCUUCCUCAUCUUCUUUAUCCUGCAAGAUGAGUGAUCUUCUUUUCUUGGAUAGAGCUGUCAUGGGCUCCUUCCCUUUUUCGUUUUGCAACCAUAGAAACUUAAUGAGUCUUGACAGGGGUUUUCUCCUUGAAUCGCUCCAAAGCCUUGUUCAGCUCUUUUAGACGCAUUUUGGAAAUCAUUUUCAGUCCCAUCACCAUUUGAUCAUAGGUUCGUACACACAGAAUCUUGGAAAGUUGAAUAUUCAAAUGUCUGAAUAACUUAGUAAUAGUGCUGAGUAAGGAAGUUGGCCCUUGUCUUUCAUCAUCGAUCUAUACAUGUGAAACAUGAUAGUGUGUGGCAGAGAGAACUUUUUGCCAGCAUUGAUAGCAUACAUUAGCCUUGCUUCUGAGUUGGAGACGUCAGUCUUCGAAGUCGAUUUGGGUCUAAGGCAAUUGAUCACAAUCUUGUGAAGCAAACUAUUUGAGGCAUUCAUCCUCAAGUACAAAAUCCGUCCUUCCACCGUUCCAUCCCAAACAAGCUCUACCGUCGCACGACUAAUAGACACACUAAUUGAUUGGAAUACACCUCUCUCUACUCCAAUCACAUCAGCCAAUGUGUCCAUAUCAACUACAUAGUCCUAAUCUCAAACACUGAAAGAGAAUCUAUUCGCAUCCAAGAAACUUAGAUUAGAAUAGAAAUACACAGUAAGUUCUAGAUGAGCCAUUGUUGUCUCAGAACAAAAUCGUUCAAGUUGAAGUAAGGUGAAUUUCUCUCGCAACUUCACGUUCAGAGAAUCAAUAAAAUCAAAGUCUACACUUCUUGGGUUGAUCACCCCUUGCUUUAACAACUUAGAGUAAAGUCGCUUGUGUUCCUCAGAGCGAAAAAAAUCUGUCAUUUUGCUUUAAAUAUUCACCGCAACACCCAUUCUAGGCUUAAAAUGAGUGUACAUCUUGUCAUCAUCAUUUCCAUCAGGUUGACUAAGACCUCCAAAAUGUGGAUCGCUUGGAAUAUUCGCAAAGGCUCUUUCUGCCGACCCCGCAGAAGCAACUCUCAAUCGUUCCAUCAUUCGCAAAAAGUAGGUUUCAUUUCGAUACCCUUUCUCUUUCAAAAAUUCAUCAAUAAGUUCAGGGAAGUACCUCCCUCCUUCAAGGCAAAGUAGAGCUUAAAGGUAAAGGCAGGCUUUUGAGUUCUUACAAGUUUCGCAUCUUCAAUAAUUUCUUCCUCCGCUUGAUGAUGAAUAUCCUGAGGUCUAGCUUGAGGAGAAUGAUGCGGUUGAGAAUGUUGUGGACUUUGCAGCUGUCUUAGAGAUUUUUCUUCCUCAGUGAGAUCAAAAUGCGUAGGACCCCCACGUAUAUGUUGCGGUCCCCUGUUUGCAAGCCUUGAAGACUUUCUUUGGAAAGACAUUCUCACAAUCUUUGAGAGAUUCCAAACUUGUUUCACAAGAAAGAUGAAAACUUUGAGGAUUAAACUAGAGAGUAAAAGAGAGAAGGUGAAGUUCUGUGCUUUCUAGGGUUUUGUGAGUAAAGCAGAAGAAAACAAACAGUAUAUAAAGCAAUCAAAGUGAAGUAUACGGAACAUUGUAAAAGGAAAAAUAGAAUAUGCCUUUUUAAAAAAUAACUGCCCUUUUGAAAAUAGAUAACUGUAAAAAUAACUCCUUUUUUUCGAAAAUGAAUGAUUACAAAAUUUGGAAAGACAACAUCAAUUAAUUGCAAAUUUAUAGGCAUUUGUAUUUUUUCGAGUUUUUUUAUCUAAGAGAUAAAAAGGAAAUAACUUAUAGUCGAAAAUCUUGAUCUUCUGAGUCUGAGUAUCCUUAAACUUUUAUCCCUAAGUCAGAGCUUCUUCAGACUUUAAGAUAUUAAGUCUGGAACGAAUAGACUUAAAUUGACUUUUCUCCAGUGGCUUUGUAAAAAUGUCCGCUAGUUGAUUCUUUAAGUCAAUGAAUUGAAUCAAGACUUCUCCAUUUUGAACAUGAUCUUUAAUAAAAUGAUGUCGAAUCUCUAUAUAUUUUGAUCUUGAAUGAAGAACUGGAUUCUUGGUGAGAUUAAUCGCGCUGGUGUUGCAACAUUUGAUCUCAGUGCAUGAGUCUUCGAUUCCAAAGUCUCAUAGCUAUUGUUUUAUCCACAAGAUUUGAGAACAACAACUUCCAAGAACCACAUACUCUGCUUCUGCUGUUGAAAGAGCUACUAUAAUUUGCUUCCUUGAAAACCAAGAUACUGUCCUGUUAUCAAGUAAUUGAGAAGUGCCCGAGGUGCUCUUUCUAUCAAUUCUACAUCUAGCUAGAUCUGCGUCUGAGUAUCCAAGGAGAGUAAAGUCUCAUUCUUUAGGAUAUCAGAGACCCAAAUUAGAGGUUGUUGCAACAUAUUUGAUGAUGCAUUUCGCAGCAGUUAAAUGAGAUUCCUUGGGAUCUAAUUGAAAUCUGGCACAAAUACAAACACUAAGCAAAAUGUCAAGUCUAGAAGCAGUAAGAUAAAAAAGUAAACCAAUGAUACUCCUGUAUAGCUUCUGGUCAACUUUCUUUCCUCCUUCAUCUUUGUCCAGCUUUGAGGAACUUGACAUUGGUAUAUCAGUCUUUUUGUAAUUCUCCAAACCAAACUUUUUAACAAGUUUUUUAGCAUAUUUUUCUUGGUGAAUGAAAGUUCCUUCCUUCAAUUGUUUUACUUGAAGUCCGAGAAAAAAGGAUAGUUCACCCAUUAUGCUCAUUUCAAAUUCAUCCCGCAUACACUUAGAGAAUUUCUUGCACGAAUUUUCUUUAGGUGAUCCAAAAAUAAUAUCAUCAACAUAGAUUUGAACAAAUAAAAAGUUUUUGCUUUCUCUUUUGAUAAACAAGGUAGUGUCUACUUUACCUUUAACAAAGCCAUUUUGGAUUAAAAACUUACUUAACCUGUUGUACCAAGCUCAAGGAGCUUACUUUAAACCAUAUAAUGUCUUUUUCAGUCUGAAUACAAAGUCUGGUUUCCUUGAGUCUUCAAAACCGGAAAGUUAUUCCACAUAGACUUCUUCUUGAAUAAAAUCAUUCAAGAAUGCACUUUUGACAUCCAUUUGGAAUAACCUGAAAUUUUUAUAACAAGCAAAAGCAAGUAAUAAUCUAAUUGCUUCUAACCUUGCUACUGGUGCGUAAGUCUUAUCAUAGUCUAUCCCUUCUUCUUGCGUAUAUCCUUUUGGCCACGAGUCUUGCUUUGUUCCUUACGACUUUUCCUUUCUUGUUUAUCUUAUUCCUAAAAACCUAUUUAGCUCCAAAAACAUAUUUACCUUUUGGUUUAUGAGUCAAUUCCCAAACAUCGUUAAUACUGAAUUGCAUGAGUUCUUCUUGCAUAGCUUCAAUCCAACUUUCAUUAGUUAAAACUUCUUCUAUGCUUUUAGGUUCUAUUUCAGAAAUAAGAGCCACAACGCUAGACUCUUCUCGCCUUUUGGAUCUUGUACGAAUCCCUUCAUCAAUGUCACCAUAAUAAGUUCUAUGGGAUGACUAGACAUGUGCUUCCAGUUGCUGGUUGGUUUGACAGACUAUUGAUCUUUUUCUUCAUUUGAUUCUACAACGAUCGUUCGUUGUUUAUCUUCUGAAGUCUGAGCUGAUUCUAGGGAUUUAGACUCUAUAGAGUCUGGAACAGAUUCAAAUUCUUCAGAUUGAGUCUGAAUUGAUUGAUUUUGAAUAAAGUCUUGAAAUUUGACAUUCAUCGAUUCCUGUACAAAUUGAGUCUUUUUAUUGUAUACUCUAUAAGCUUUGUUGGUAGUUGAAUAUCCAAGGAAGAUGCAUUCGUCUAAUUUUUCUUCAAACUUACAAAUUCGAUCAUUUGUGUUUUUCAAUAUAAAACAUUUGCAUCCAAACACAUGAAAAUAGGAAACAAUUGGCUUAUUUCCUUUGAACAACUCAUAGGGAGUUUUCUCUAUAAUAGGCCUUAAGAAGACUCUAUUAAUAAUAUAACAUGCUGUAGAAACUGCUUCAGCCCAAAAACAAGAAGAAAUGUUACUUUCAAUUAAAAGUGUUCUAGCCAUUUCUUGCAAUGAUCUAUUUUUUUCUUUCCGCAACUCCAUUCUGUUUUGGAGUGUAAGGAGAGGAAAACACAUGCUGAAAACCAAAUUCAUCACAGAAUUUGGCAUAGUCUUGAUUUUUAAACUCACCUUCAUGGUCUGUUCGUAUGCUUGAAAUAACAUACCCUUUCUCAUUUUGAACUUUCUUAGCAAAUUUUAUAAAAUAAGAAAAUGUUUCAGACUUACUUGCUAAGAAAUAUACCCAAGUGAAUCGUGAAUAAUCAUCCACUAUUACUGGGCAAUAUUUCUUACCACCAAUGCUCUGAGUUCUGGUUGGUCCAAAGAGAUCCAUAUGCAAAAACUGCAGCACACGAUUAGUGGAAACUUGAUUUAUUGGUUUGAAACAAUUUCUAACCUGUUUUCCCAAUACACACGGUGUGCAUAAUUCAGAUUUUUGGUAUAUCAAAUUAGGUAGUCCACGAACAAGCUUCUUUGCAGAGAUCUUGGCUAUUUGUUUCAUGUUGAUGUGGCCAAGUUUUUUAUGCCAUAGAUUAGCUUCAUCUUGAAUUGAAAUUAGACAUUGAGAUUUUUCUAGUUUGAUAUCCAGAAGAUAGAUAUUCCCAUGUCUUCGCCCUGUGAAAGUCUGAGAGGAGUCUUUACUGGUUCCUGAACAUAUUCCUUCUUGAAAGUUCAUUUUGAAACCUGUAUCGCACAGUUGGCUGAUACUCGCCCUGUAAUUGAGUCCUUCCACUAAGGAAAUGUUACUGAUUAUGAGACUUCUAAUAUUUACAGUUCCGUAUUCGACAAUUUUGCAUUUGCUAUUUCCACCAAAAGAAACUUUUCCAUCAUUAACUUGCAUAAGCUUUAUGAAACAACUUAAGUCUCAUGUCAAACGUCUUGAGCAUCCACUAUCCAGGUACCAUUUGACAUUUUUCUUUAUAGUGGCUUGCAUUUAAAAAAGAAACUCAAGCUUUCUUUGGUACCCAUACUUUCUUGGGUCUAAUGGAGUUAGUGUAAUAUACGAUUUUUGCCCAAACCUUCUUAACAGGUUUCCAAACCAUAUGACAUUCUUUCUCAAAAUGUUCUGAGCUGUUAUACUUAGAAAAUUUAAGAGCACUACAGCCUACAGGUUUUACAAAGACUUUUUGCAAAUGAUUUCUAUAAAAGUCUUUUGUAGGUCUUUGUUUAAUUCUUUCCUUUACUUUUGGAAAGUCAAUUGGAGAGAUGGUUUCAGCAGUCAUUCCCAAGCCUAAUUUGUUAAAGUAAGGUCUUUGCACUAAAAAAAAAAAUUUCUAAUUUCUCAGAUCCUAUAGAAAAUCUUUUUGAAAUACUUGAAAUGUCAUUUUUCAAAAGUGCAUUUUCUUUUGAAAGAGAGUCUGCAUUUUCUUUCAAAGUAAUAAUACAUUUAUCUAAAUUUUCGAUCUUUUCUUUCCAAACAAUCUCAUGUUGCUUCAGUGUAGAAUUUUCCAUUUUUAGUUCAGAAAUCCUCUUGAGAGAAGUUUUGAGACUAAGACACAGUUCAUCAAUAUAUUUAGAGACUUUAGUAGGAAUUUUUAAAUUACUUACCUCAAUUUCACUGUCUGAGUCUAGGUCUGUCUCAGAAUCUGAAUCUGAUUCUGAUUGUGCCAUUAGACAAAUAUUAGCAUAAUCAUCAUCACUCUCUUUACAUUCAGUAUCACUCCAAGUUUCUGCUUUGAGAGCACUUCUGUAUUUCUCAGCUUUUCCUUUCUUUUUCUUCAGUAAGGGACAGUUGAGUAUGAUGUGUCCAUUUUUUCUUGCAUUCAAAACAAAUCACAUCUUUAUUGGAUUCAUCAUCCUCAGCUGAUUUAUUUUGAAACUUUUGAGAAUUAUGUUUCUUCCAAUUGAAUCUUCUUCUAUUUUUGUUCAGUUUUUUGAACCUUCUUAUCAUGAGAGCAAGCUCUUCAUCGUCCAUAUCGUCUUCAGAAUCUGUAACAUCAGAAUCAUCAUUAGAUUUUAAUGCAAUAGAUUUUUUACCUUUGGGAUCUUCAUCUUCCUUGAUUUGCUCCACUCCAUAAAACUAAAAAGUGCCAACCAAUUCGUCAACGGAGAGUGUCAUGAUCCUUUGUGUCUCCCUUAUUGAGGUCUUUACAUGAUUCCAAUCUUUGGAAAGUCCACGCAGUAAUUUGUUAACCUUCAUGGGUCCAGAAAUUGGUUGACCUUGAUACUCAAGACCAUUCACGAUUUAUGUAAAAUGACUAAACAUAUCAGUGAUAGAUUGUCCUAGUUUCAUUUUGAAUGAUUCAUAUUAACCAAGCAGAAUAUUGAUUCUGGUUUCUUUCACUCGAUCAGUUCCUUCAUAGGUGAUAUGCAAUCUAUCCUAGACUUCUUUAGCUGUUUCACAAGAAGAUAUUAUGUUAUAUUCAGUAUGAGAUAAUGCACAAUAUAAGGAAUAAAUUGUUUUUGCAUCAAGAGCUUGUCUCUUGAUUAUCUCUUCUUGAGUCAUCUCGCUAAACUCAAUAGCUUCUUUUCCCCUUUCUGAGAUUUUGUAGUUUUAGAAAUGAUUCCUUUGUCUACCACAUCCCAUUCAAGAGGGUCUUUCAAUCUUAGGAAUGUCUUCAUCUUGUUUUUUCAUAUACUGUAUUUCUUCCCAUCAAAGUAAAACGGUAUGGUAUUGCUUUGCCCUUCAACCAAACCUAGAGCCAACAUACUAACCAUAGAUCGUUAACUCUGAAAUAAAAACACUUCAAUUUAGAUGAGUACACAAACUAUGAUACCAAUUGUAAAUGUUAGUACGAGUACCUAAAGGGGGUGAAUAGGUGCGAAAACAAUUUUUUGUAGAGUAUAGUGUAAAAAUUUACUUUUAACCUGAGUCUGUUUGACAUAAGACUUUAAAAAGAAAAGAGACUUUAACAAUUAAAUAAAGUUACGAAUAAAGUAAAUGAGUUUAUGGAAGAGAAUAAGAAUACAAGGUUUAUAGUGGUUCGGUCUAAUCCAAGCCUACGUCCAUUCUCCCGCACUGACAGCCCACCGGCUAAAUUUUACUAUGAAUCAAAAGAGUCGUUACAGUUUCACGUCUUUAAUUCCACAGUAUAGAGACUCUGCUACACUUCCUCAAGGUUUCACAAAUGUAUAAACUCUUUUUUAGUACAAGUUUACGCUCAACAAAUGAAUUGGCAAAGAACAAUGAGCUUUAAACUUUGGAAUUUAUCUAUCACGCACACACUCGAAUAACUAGAGCGUUUUCCUUAUAUACUCCUCCAUGCCUUCAUAACCGUUGGUACUUUCCAAAGGAGUUCUUCCAAUCUACCCGUUGGACAGAAUCAAUUAGGGAGAUCUCGAGUUAUUUAAGGAACAUGACGAUAGCCCACCAAUCAUGCUCGCCCAUACAAUUAGAAUCUAGGUUUCCAUAAGUAGAACCUUCCAAGUAUGCUCCGCCAUUCAACGGAUCCAAAUUACCCGAAUUAAUUUCAAGAAUAAUAGAUUCUGAGAUGUUAUCUCUAGCCGAGAGAUCUUCUUUAAUCGAUCGAAUCAAAUCCUUAAAGAAAUACUUGAUUAUGGAUAAGAUUUCUUCGACGGUCUAGAAACUGUUAAUGAGGGCAGACUUUGAGUCUUGAGUCUGGCGGUCUUCAGACUUUAACGGUCUUUACGCAAGAGUCUACAAGUUUUCAGACUAGACUGAUGGAAACGUUUUGUCAGCUUCAAAACAAAUAAUGAAGUUUUCUCCAACACAUUCUUGGACCAACCAAACUCUGGCUUUUGGCAUUUUUAGACUCUAGCUUUUCAUAAAUGAAUUUGCAGGUUCUAAUGGGCUAUAUAAGAGAUAAAAUUGUGUAUGAUGAAGAAAUAAAUUUUCUUCAUCACUUUAAGGUACUUAAAUUCUCAUUUGAGUUAUAAUACACUCAAAGAUCGAUUCAAGUGAGGGUAAAAAUCUCACAUCCUCGAUUCGAAUCCCUAUUUACACCACAAGAGAUAGACUGAGCAACGGUACGUCAAUAACAAGGAUAGACCGUGAAUCCCAUCAUUGUUCACAAGCUGACUAGCUAAUUAGGGGCAAGACAACUUAGGAUUAGGGUUGUGAUAGAUCAGAGCAUUCAACCAUGAAAGGAUCAUUUGACCUCAAGGAUCAUUGUGAAUGAUCAUGUGCCGUCCUGAGUCAAUUGGUGGACUAAUAUAGAUCAAUUUAGCUCGAAUAUAUACCAAUGGCAUGUGACAUCACAUGGUCAAUAUACUGUUCAUGAAUGACCUUAAUCCGAUCCUAAAUGAUCAUGAGUCAAGAAAGGCCGAUCGAUCCUACUCGAUUACAUAACAACCGAGGAUCAUUCAUGAAUCGAUCGAGCUCAACUAAAAGCCACGCGUAAAACCCUGAACAAGCAUCAACUCAGUUCAAGUCUAGUUUCAAGAAUUCUACCAAUGCCACAUAAAUUUGAGUAGAUUGCAUUAAACCUGUUUCCGAUCGAAACUUAGUCACAAGCCCCGAUUCAAUUGCAGGUAUCGACUAUAGAAGUUAUCAAGGCAUUCCUUUCCAAUUAAAAUGAUUUUAUUGAACAUGUUUGUGCAUCAAUUAGAGAAAUGCGCUAAUUUGAUAAUAUAGACUUCAACGAACCUAGAGAUGAGACCAAUUCAGCUUAUUAAAAUUUAAAUUGAGAUGAGACAAAAUGUGUUAGGCCAUGGACAACAGAUAGGCACCACUUUAGGGGUAGACAAGGGGAAUAGACCAAAUUACCCUUCUUGAGUCUAUCCAAUAAUUGAAAUUUAAGAAGCCAUCCUAGCCCUUGAUCUUGGAUAAGGACUUAGGCAAGAUGGAUGACCAAGAUUUCAUCUUGCUUUCCAAGUUUGAUUGGCAUCGUGAGAGGAGGACAAUAAUUCAAGAGGCUUUAAUGCUUGAAAGGUAAUCUUUCUUUUUAAGUUUCUUCUUCUUCUUCACUCUCUCCCUCUCCCACCCCAUUUGGUCAACCCUCCUUCCCUUUCCUCUCUCUCUCUCUCUCUCUCUCUCUCUCUCUCUCUCUCUCUCUCUCUCUCUCUCCUUCCUUUUCCUCCCUUUCUUCCCCAUUGCCCGCUUGGCCGCUCGCCUUGCCGUCCACCACUACACGCUGUCGCCGCCGUUGUUCAUGCACCCGCCUAGACGCCAUCCACCACUCUACUGCUGCCGUCCGCCAUCCUCUGUCACUUGAUCAUUACUACCGUGAACCAAGCCACCACCCAACCGCCCCCGUCCUGUCUUAGUUGUUUGUAAGUAGAUUUCUUAAAUGUUAGCUAGGCCAUUGUGUUACGCAACUCAGAUUUAGGACUGCCUAUGAUGUUAUAAACUAUCAUAGGUUGAGGAACUCAUGUAAUUAAUUUUGUAUGAUUUGCUCAUGAUAUACUUAAGCUAUAUAGUUCGAGAUUGAGCGAGGAAUAAGUAUGUGAGAGUUGAGGUUGUUCAGGUUCACGUGAUGUCACGCCCCGAUCUUCAAGCACGUACCCAUCCCUCAAUGGUCAAUAAAUUUGUGACGUCUUAGGACGCGUCGCUGACCCAUUCAUUUUAAUACGCAUGCGAAAGCGAACAAAUACCCCUGACAGCACAAAGAUGGGAUAGAAAAGCAGAACCACAAUUGCACAACCACAACACACCUUUAUACACAACCGACUAGUUUAUUUACAAUACUAGUCUAUAGACAAAAGUCUACAAAAGACCGACUCUCAAAAAUGAAGCUGUCCUAAGACUAGCUAGCCAAACACAUUCGCCGAUCCUUCGGACUCCACAGGCUCCGGGGGUGUUGGGUCCUCCACCACACCAUCAGGAGGGUCAGCUGCACUCUCACCUAGAGUGGCAUCGACUACCACAGAGGGGAUUUCAAAACCCCUAAGGGGAUCCACCAUGAAUCCAUUGGGUCUGUAGCGAAACCACACUCUGAAUCGAUGAGGUACCCUCUGAGGUACGCCCUCUUCAACCCAAACGAUGGUCACCACAAGUUCAUAGAUCCAGUGACUUUCGGGAUCAUGGUAGUUGAAAACCUGCUCAGUAACCCUCAUGGGCUAGCCAAAACGUUUUGGAGGAAUUGUCAUCUAAGGACCUGAAAAGGUUGAGCCCACGACAAGGUGAGACAAUGUCUCAAUAAGUUCACCCCUUAAACUCCGACUAGGAAGGAAAUACGCCUAGAGGCAGCUAUACACACAAGUCAGAAGACUUACCUUGCCUUAGUUCCCUCCUGCACGUCAGUACAGUUCAUAAUCUCAACCAAUCAAUUCAAUCCAAACCAUCCAUCCAUCAAUCCAUUCAAUCAAUCGACUCAAUUCGAUUACUACUCACCCAAGCUAAGAUUUAUUAUUAUUGCUCACCAAAGCUGACGAUUAGAUAAUGCUCUCGCAAGCUGACGUACAAUUGAACCAGAAAUAUUGAUAUUCACACUUCUAAAAUCCCACGAUUCGAUCUAGUCCUCGAAACCAUUUUUGUGUCAAAACCCAACACUCGGGAUUUUCUAAUUAAAAUAACAAAAUUUCCAAAUUUUGGAAUAAAUAUUCAAAAUCAAUAUUUCCACUCAAUUGGCACAAUUUAGCAUUCAAUUGCAUAAACUAACCAUACCAUUGCAAUCAGCACGAAAUUCUAGUCACCAGCUAUCCAGGUAUAAUUUUUGGAAAAUAAUAAAUAAUUAAAUAAAUGCAAUAAAAUACCAAAAAUGCAAACUUAAGCUGGAAUUGCUUAAUUAAACACUUAAACGAGCCCGAAAAAAUUCCAAACCUAUCUAGAUAAAUAACACAAUCUAUCUAGUCCCUAAUUAAGCCAUUAUAUCCAUCUAACAUGCAUAAAUGAAUAAUUAAAUCACUAAUCUAAUUUAACUGACCACAUAAACCAUACUCAGCCUAAACUAAUCAGCCAUUAAGCAUAAUUAACUCCCUAAGCAAAGUUUAGUGAGUAAACUCACUGGUUUAGCGAUCCGGUAAGUCCAUGGCAACAGCGACGCAGAGACGAGCAACAAACCUCCUGGCGGCGACACCAAGCGAAGCCCAGAAGAGACCUAAAAUAGGCCUUGAAGACCUCGACCCACAGCUGGGCUUCGGCCUUUGCUCCUUGGACCAAGAGGCUACUCGAGUGACCAAGAGCGGCAAGGAGGGACAGCAACGGUGCAACUAGGCCAAGCAAGCGACGGCGGAGGUGACAAACAACUUAACGGCAAUAAACGGAGGCCAGGCGACUCGGACAAGGGCUCGGGAUGACGGCCAGGGUAGGGACGAUGGCGCACGGACACACGGGCAAGCAGAACGUUGAGCUGGGCUCGCGGGCGCAAACGAGCGGCGUGCGGUGGCUCCGAUUGCUUCGACGGGUGGUCGAUGGUUCAAGGGAGGGAACUGGCGGUUUCUCUGGUUUCUCUAAGCUCUCUCAAGCCUCAACAAUGGAGAAAUGAGGGGGGAAGAGGAAGAAGAAGGCUACUGAAGUAAGUGGGACCCCAAGUGGCCUUCAAGUCUCAACACUUGUCCAAUUCUCCCUUUGCUUGCCCCCACUAGCCAUCAGUCAUCCACUUCAGCCAUUAUCCACUCCAAUCUUCCUCAAAGAACCCAAAGGAUUCAAAAUGUUGUCUCCCCCAUGGUCUAGGAAUUUUGCAUAAUCGACAUCCAAUUUGCUUCAAUUCCUCUCCAAUUGGACCUAAAUUGGAGUCUAUAAAUCCAACCAAGAUGCCCACACGUGAAUUCCCAUUUUUCCUCACCCAUUUGUCCAACUUGAAUCUCAAAAACGCAACCAAAAACAGUCCUUUGAUUUUCCCGAUAAAAAACAGCUCUAUUUUGAAUUUUCACCAAAAAUCUCGGUUUGUAGAAAAAUCUUCGAAUGAUAAGUCGACGUUCCUAAAAUAAAGUGUGACUUGACAGAACUUUAUUCGCGGUUAAUUUCAAUUAGACACGAUUUUAGCAUGACUUAACCUACCGGGUAGCUUUUAUGAAUUUUUAGCGCAUCUGACCUGUGGUCGAUUAUUUUCGAACCACAUUGUACAUCUUCGACACAUGGGGGACUCUCGGUUGUUGUAAAAAUCUCGAGAUUUCAAAUAUGGACACAGGAUACAGAAAUGACAGAAAAAUCGAUCUAAUGCCGAUCGAUGAGAAUUUUGCAAUUAGGUGGAAUCACCCACACUUAAUCACAUGGCUCAAUCGAGUUGACCUAUCUCCGGUCUCUAAUCGAUUUUGACAAUGCCAUAAUGACCCUCGUAGAUUAGCACAGUCGAGCAACCAAUUCUUAAUCGAAUUCUCAAGUCUAUUGCGUUUAGAUUCCUUAAGGGCUUCACCUAAUAGACUAGUUAUCCCAUGAGUGACCAGUUCAAAGAAAAGAACUACAGGCACGUCGAUAAAAAGCCCAACUUAUUCAAUCAAAAACAGAACCCGAAAAUCAAAAUGUCACACGUGAGUUGUGGAAAUGAUUCAUUUAGGCUUAAAUUUGUUGUGAUUGUUGCUGUGAAUCGUUUGCUAUUGUUAUUUAUGCUUGAUCUUCAUAUAUGAAUGCUAUGGAUGGUUGUGUGAGUGUGUUAUGUAAUAUGAUCUUUGCAUAUAAAUUCUCGUAGGUCAUGGUCGAAGCCUGAGUUCAUAUUGAGCGGUCGAAUCUAGAACAGCGUUGGUUCUUGGACAUGCUUGGAAGUGCGACAAGCUAGGUCACUCUCUUGGUUUAGCGAUAUUGAGGCAUAUCAUUCGAUCCAAGUUUGACCUAGGCCGGUACUUGAGCAUCACGAGUCAAGCGACGAUUCCAAUUUCAUGAUCAACAUACUUUAUUGUCGCAUUUACGAUAGAUCAUGAGUUACACAUCACUUAGCACGCCCGUGGGGCAUUCAUACAUGGACUAAAGUAAAAGAUAAAAUCGAUUACUUGAAUGCUUGAUUCAUGUGGUCAUAUGAGGAAUAAUAUCACUGAGAUUUCGGGGGACGGUGCCUCCACGUCAAUGGGAUGUCGUUUGCGGAAUGUGUUAUAUCAAAACGACGCCUGAAAGGAUACCUGAUGGAUUUCGAAUACCGUGUUCGAUGGAGCAAAAUGAUAUCCCGGAGAUUUUUGGAAAAACUAUAGGGUUUUGGCUAUAUGUGAUUAAUAAUUAGCCUCAAGAUAGCAUGGUAGUAUGGAAUGCCAUGUGAUUCUCGAGUCACUAAACUUGUGCAAAGUAUUUGAGUGCUAUGUGCAUACUCUAGAAGUUAUUUUAUGGCUUGCGCAUGUUUGACAUGGACUUAUAUAAGAUGCAUGACAUGUGCAUGAUUUAAAUGUCAUUUUCAAUGAAUUAGAACGCGCGUGCAUGUUAUGGUCGUCAUUGUUCAUGAAGUGAGAGGCACGUGGAUGUCCUAAAAGUUGUUGUUUGAGUCUUGAAGGCUUUAAUAAUGCUGUGGAUGCUAAUACCCAUCAUGUGUGAAUAUUAUUGGCGAUAAUUUGCACUAUUUGUCACUGUGUGGAUUUGUAUGCCUUUGCCUAGGACUCAAGGGACUUAGGUUGAGGGUAGGUUCCAUCAUGUAUAUAGUUAAGGCAAAGCAUAGACUUUGCUAUUAAUCUACCAUCAACAUGUUUAGGUCGGGAAAUCGUAAGGCUCUGAUGCGAGAUAUCCGCUUAUACGAGAUUUAGGAUCUUUACUUAUUAAGUUUUCAACUCACUGUUGUUGUUUAACCUUUUUUCAGGUCAAUAGGUAUGGACCCCUUACUCACCGCUUCAUGCAUUCUGGAGUGCUUGUAAGCAUGAAGGUCACAGUGAUAGACGUGUUUAGGGAGGAUGUGGCUAAUUGACAGGUCACGACCACUGUCUGUGUUGACGAGGGGUACCGCAACCUUAUCCCACACGGCUGUCAAGCACGAUAUGUGUGGUUCAAUGGGGACCUCUUUGGACCCAUCUUUGGAUUCCGCGGCCCACCUGGACCAAGUGAGGACGCAACCCCACCAAACAUAUGCCUAGACAGCUGGUCCUACCAAGGAAGCCACUUCUGUUUUAAUCUCAUUAGAUCAUAUAGGCUUCCCCUUGCAGCUUUAAACCCCCACCCCCCUUUUUGAUUUUUUUUGUGAGGGGAUGACCAGUCAUAACGGCCCUAGAAAUGAGGGCUCAUAAAUUGUAAACAUUCUGAGUAGAUAAAAAAAGCUUGGAAGUUAUGCAAUGUGUGUGUGUCUUUCUCCCUGACUAUUGGGUGAUUGGAGAUUGCAUGCUUUGGCAUGGGCUUAAUGAAAAGAUAAAAUUAAUGGGAUGGUGAUGCCUCCUGGAACGUCACAAAUUAAUCCCAAAGAGAACGAGGGUAAGGUCUGGGAUAUGACAAAGAAAGUUCCAUCUAUUUUUCUCACCUUGUACUAUCACCCUUACCUCCAUUCUGCCCUAGUGUGGGGUGAUUCGCAAUAGGGUUAACUUGAAAGAAAUUCUUUCAACGUGUAACAUGGAAUGCCCCUUGUCAUUUCGGUCCACUUACCUUUUCAUGAGAAAACCCUUUACCUUGAAGACAUUAAAUUUUUCGCUCAUCUCUUGGUGUAUAAAGGACUAUAAGAUAGAGCUUGCCAUUCAUUAUCUUGACACGUCUCGGGUAGUAUUCUCAAAUAAUUCUACAUAAUUCAUUAGAUUGUCUGUUUUGACAAGUUCAUAAUAGAAUUUAUGAAAUAGGCAAUAUUAUCAUGCAAAGUAUCCCUUCGAAAAAUAUGAGCAUUUUAAGAGCUUGUCGACUUUACGCAUGAGAUAGCUUUUAAUUUCAGAGUAAGUAGGUUAUCAUGACAAAGAGUCUAUCACGAAAAUUUUGACGCAAGAGAUAUGACCUCAAACACUUAAAUUUUACCAAAGGGUCAAACAGGGGAGUUGGACCCUAGCACACCGAGAAGUACUCCUACAAGAGACAAAAGGAUGGCUCUAAUGCAGCAACGUCCCUGCUAAGAUAAAGUGUCAAACUUGAGAAUAUCGAACACGCUUAGAAAUGGUGUUCAUGGAUUGUCCCUAUUAUAAGGGGAAAGGACAAAUGAAUUGAAUAGUCGGUAUUGGAAGUCUGAUCUACGAUUUGAUAGAUGCCUUGGCUUUACUCUUGCCCCUAUACAAGCGAAUGUGCAUGAAUAGGAUAUUAUGUGAUGCAAAGGCAAAGGCAAAGGCAAAUGCAAGCUAAGACUUUGGAUAAUCCUACUAUCCAUCAAGGCACUAUCUUAAUCAGAUCAUUCAAUCUACGUUCGCUAUUGGGGUCUAACAUUCCCCUUAAUUCAUCAUCUGCGAAAAAGACUAACAAAAUGUCAUUUCCAAAAUUAAUUAUGUUCCAGACGAGGUGCACCUUUUUUCUCAAAAGAUCGGAUGUCUCUCUUUUGAGUUGCCCCUACUUUCUCAUCAGUGUGCAGGGUUGCAUCAAGCAUGAAGUUGAAAUGUGUGAAGCACUCCUUUUGGCUCUGCGGAGUUGGCAUCACGCCCAAAUAGAAGGUGAUCCUUUGCGUCACAUUAAUCGGAUCCAAAAUAUUCUCAGACAAUCUUGCAAAGAUCAUUUUAGUAUAGACAAGAAUCAUUGUCAGUUCAGCUCAAUUUUCUUAGAAACCAAGGCUAUAACGCAUGACUGUUAUGCAAAAACAAGAUCAAGUUACCACUUGAUUGGCAUAGAAUAUGGCUUAUGCACCUCACGUUUGUUUUUAAGCCACAACAGGCUUUAUUUGUAAUAUGCAAGAUGUUAUGCAUGUCAUUUCGAAAAUGCUUUUGCAAAAUUUUGGAAGGAACAAGAAGAAGCCCAACCUUCAAAAUUACCUUUUUGCCUCAUUUUUUAUUAGUAGGAUUUAAUCACGGGGUUAGUUUGAUAUAUUUCAACAUGUCCUCAAAAUAUGAAAACUUUAAUGAAUUGCAUUUUAUUGAAUGGAAAUCAACGAACUAGAUUAUUUGGAAAGGGAAAUCCUACAAAACAAUCAAAUCCUAAGAAGUAGAUCCUAAAAAGUAAGAAAUACUCCUAUACAGAGGAGUGUGCAAAAAAUUAAAAUGGUUCCUACUCUAAAGGGAUGAGAAGUUGAGCCUUCAAUUUUACUCAAUGAUCAGAUCGGUGCUUUCUUCACGAUUGGGUUGUGCAUUGCGGAAUGAGAACACCUUUGCUUCUAUCAAAUCUUGGACUUUGUAUUUCAGGAGGAGACAAUUAUCUGCGGAGUAUCCCAUUGACUUGGAAAAUGGAGCAGUAAGCAUAACAAGUAAAGGUCGGUCCACGACAAUGGUCGAACGCCUACCUUAUUAGUUGUGAAAGAUUGUUCAUUUAUGAAACAUUGAAAUUGCGAACUUUAAAACCAUAAGUUUAAAGUGUUAUUCAAAUGGUAUGGCGAUUGACUCAUGUCAUGGACCGACGCCAAAUUAGAAACACGACAAGCUAAGUAGCAUAGAGAAGAGUGUGUGAAACUUACCUGAGCAUCGAAAGAUGGCAACAUAUGACAAUGUGAGGUUUGACGCCUACAACUUAAAAGACUAGACAAAUGGGGCCAAGAGGGUGAGCAGACUAAUAGCAGUCUAGCGGACUAAGGUUGGGUCCUCCUAACUCCGGCUCAAUGAAAAGGUUGUCCUAUGACACUUUAGACAUCAAAAAGAAAUUUUGGAGUUGAAAAGGGUAACCUUUAGUCUUGCGGUCUUGCAAAUAAGUUGCAUCCCUCUCAACACCAGCCUCACUUUUCCUAAAUUGCGAUCCAGGUACUAUGGCAAGUUGUAUGUGCAAGAAUGUAGUGCUAAUGCAUUAAAAGCAUGCACAACAACUUAUGAUGCAAUCACCACUUCAAUAUUAAAUUAAAGCAAUCACUCUCAACACCGUUCUGCAAACAAAGAUUAGUAAAGACUACUCACCAAUUAAGAGAAUCAAUCUCUAAGAACGUCCGCCCCUCGCUCUCCCCCUCUUAGGGUUUCCUCUUUCCAAAGCCGCUAGCCCCCUUUUUUGAAGCUACAUUCUAGAGAGACAGAGAGAUCCCUCUCUUAGGAUUUCCUCUCCCUUCCUCCCUCCCCCUCUCUCUAUCUCCCUAUCUCUUUAUCUUCAAGACUUUUUCAAGACCUCUUCCCGUUCGUUGAUUUCGAGGACAACGCUAUGGACAUCCUCCCCAAAAGUGGUGAGGUUUGUCGCCGUGGCCUCUGAAGAUCGAAGCAGGAGCGCCUCAGAAGAAUUUGCUCCCUCCGAAUUUGCUCGCUUACUUACUCUAGGUGUUUGCUCCAUACAGUCGAGCGCCCUACAAAUCUCCGAAGCUUAUCUACUGCGUUCAAUGGUUGGCUUAUCUGAAAGUGAUUUGCGGUCAACUAGUAUCUAUUUUGCAACUUCUCUCCUAAUUUAGAAUUAAAUCAAGAUUUAGGUGUUCUUCUAUCCCGAUUUAACUAUAGAUCUGGGAUUUACAAGGUAUUAUUAGUGCUCUUAAACCUAUUGGUGUUGUUGUCGUCUCUAAAUGGUAAUGGUGCCAAGGACGUCCACCACCUUUUGGCCGUUGUCCUUUGAAGUUAUGACAGAUCCAUUCUUGUGGAAUGAGCAAGUUUCUGCAAGCUAUACUAAGCUGUUUCAUUUUUCGGAUUUGCACUAUAGUGUAACUUUUGGUUGGUUUUGUCUUGAAAUUAUGUAUCUCUAUUAUGCGAAAUAAAAAAAAUUUCCUUCUAACAAAAAAAAAAAAAGACUACCUCCUUAUAACUCUUAUCUAUAAUACCAUUUAACACAAUAAUUAGUGGUCUACAUGCUGCCACACAAAAAUAUUUUUGAAAAGAGAAAGUUCAUGGCCUAGGUCCACUAUAAAUUUUAACUCAAAUCCCUAGUAAAGUGCCAAGCUAUUGUGACCUUCCCAAAGUUAAACUACUAAGGGAAAGCUAAUGAGUUACUAAGCCAACACUUAAUGCAAGCUCUCCCAAGCUCAUACAAUCGUAACGUUGAGAUUUUAAUUUAAUCAAAUAAAAACGCCAUUCAAUUCUACUAGGAGUCGUCAUGAAUUAUUAUGAGUCAAUUAGAAACUCAAGUAAAAUGUGGGAGAACAUUUUAUUUCUUUGAACUAGAGAUUUCGUGAAUAAGGAUCACGCUAGAUAUAUAUAACGCCAUUUUGAUAUUUUUAUUUUAUAUGAAAAUUAUUUUACAAGCUAUCUAAGUCAAUUUUAGGGCUAAACUACUAACAUGUGAGAGAUAAUCACACGAGUGCACAAAGUGAGAAUACAACACUCAAUGAUCUAAGCGAUGAAUAAAUUACUUGACGAGACAGAAAAACCCUGAUGUGUUAUGCAAAUAUUCCAAUAAAUGUUCUCCAAGAUUUUAACUAAAUACAAAGCAACAAUGUGAUGUAUGCAUAACUUAGACAUGAUUUCUAAAUAUGAUUAUGCAAUGAUAAUCAAUUCAUAUAGGGCUUUUCUUGUUUAACAAAAACAUGAAUUAAUUAAAUGCUAUGACUAUUAUACUCUAGCGUGCAUUGAUGAACUUACAAGAAACAUUAAAUGACAUAUACGCUAUUUUAAUUAAAUUGAAUCCAACCUAUAUGUGGUUCUAACGACAAGGAAUAUGAUCAAUUAUAAAUUAACCUUAUUAUUUAACCUACUUGUGAGAUUAUUUUUUGUGUCUCCUUUUUAAUAAAUAAGAGACUAUAUGCAAUGCAUGAAAGACAAUGAUUAAUCCGUAUGACAUGACCUACACAUGUGAUUGGUAAAUGAUGUGGAUAUCAUGAAACUAAUUAAAUUUAUAUACUAAUGACGAGCAAAAGAAAUAUGAAUUAAUCUAAGAUGGCAUGCAAUAUAUGAUAUGAGUAUUAUAAAACAAAUAGCAUGCAUGUGAUAUUUUGAUAUUUUCUUUUUGAAAGUUAAAAUAGGAAAAUACUUAAAUGCCUGAUGACCUAACUUAAAUAAGAAAAUAUUUUAUAUUAAGUUCUAAUGAAAUUAGUUAAUUUCCUAAUUACUACAUAGUUCCUACGCUAUGCAACGCUAAAUUACGGAACUAAAUGAAUGCAAUUUAUCCUAAAUGCAAUGCAAGGCAAUCUUUUUUGUCUUUUCAUAAUAUGAUUGUUUCCUAAAUUAAUGGCAUGCAAUAUAUAAGCCCACAUAAUCAAAUAUUUGCUACAUCCAAAUAUGAAAUAAAGGUAAUUUGGGAAUCCAAUCUUAGGUCUUAAAAUGAAUUCAUUUUAACCACAUCAACAUCUUCACUUAGCCAGAUUGAACAGAGUGAAUAGAAAAACUUGAUUAUACCAAUUUAACAAAUUUUAUGAUUUAAUUAUAUUUUUAUUGUAAGUUUUAAGACUUCCAAUGUACUUAUUCCUUUUUUUUAAAACAACAAAGCUCACAAGCUUGUUUGCUGACAAGCUUGUUUGAUACAUCCUUUCAACAUUAAAAUAAUGCAACUAUUAGAAAAAAGUGCUAUGAGUCAUACUAUGUGUUUGGCCAACUGUUCACAUAUGCGUUAUCCUCACGAUUGCAGCCGCUUAUGAUAGCUUUGAGAGGCUAUCUCGCUUGGUUUUGAAAUGCUGCAACUUUAGAACAUGCACUACAUGCACAGAUUCAUCGCACUUCACAUCACGCUUGUACUAUAUUUAAAAAGAGCUGUAGAAAAUAAAUAUUUAAUACCUUGACCAAGACUUAGCUUUUGGUUGAUUGACAAACACAAAUUUCGGAUAUGUAAUUUAUUUAUUUUUCCGUUCAUUUCUUCCAUCAACUUGUCACUUGAAAUUUCAUCGCCUGUAUCCAUCUUUUUGAAGAACUCCCUCCAUCUUUUUGAAGAACUCCCUUUUCUUAACAUCUACCAUAAAAAAUAAGAAUAAUAUCACCAAAAACCACAAACAGUAUCAAUAAUUAAUUUAUCCUAAGCUAAUUUUUGACAAUCAAAAAUUCCAAAUUGAUACUUGUGUAAUAAAUUCAUCAAACUAAUACAUUUGUAAUUAGAUUAAUGGCAUAAAAAAUCACAAAAUGGUACACAUGUAACAUGUGAAUUGUAAAACCCCAAAUUCGUAUACCCGUCAACUGCCACGUGUCAUCCAAUUCAGUAAUCUGAUGAUAAAGUUUAAUAAAAAUUAACAGAGGGUAAAUUUGUCACGAGUAUACCAAUUUGAUUUUUUUUUUGUCACUAAUGCACUAGAUUUGGGUUUUUGUGGCAUUAAUCUUAAAAAACAAUGGUAUAAGUGCACUGAAACUCUAAAUCUUAUCGCGAAAGUGCAAUUAAGUUAUAAAAAUUUCAAAAAAUAUAAUUAUGUCGUAAAACUUGUCACGAAAGUAUAAUUAAGUCUUGCAACUUUUAAAAAGCAAUUGAUGUAAGGACUUGAUUGAACCAAUUUGACAAAUUUUAGGAUUUAAUUACUUUUUUUGAAAGUUUUAGAACUUAAUUAUACUUUCAUGAUAAGUUUUAUGAUUUAAUUUCAUCUUCAUGACAAGUUCUAGGAAUUCUAAUACACUUAUCACUUUAAUAAUAAAUGGAUGUAGAUACGAAAUGCUUUUAUUUGUUGACAAAUUAAAAAAAAAAAAAAAAAAACCCCUUAACAUUCAUAUGACACUUUUGUACCAUAACAUUUUAAUCGACAUCAUAACUUUUAGAAAAUGUUCACUUUUGUGCCAUAACUUUUCAAUUAAUCACCUAAAUGUUUGAAAAUUUCUUAGGAUGUUAAAACUUAUGGCUUUUGUGGUGGACAACUUUUAAAAGUUAUGGCAUUAGGUUAUCGAUUGAAAUUGUUAUGGCACCAGAGUUAGCAUUAUAUGAAAGUUAUGGCAUGUGUGGUGUCCUCAUCCCAUCAUUUCAUCACUCAUCUCCUUCUUGCACUGAGGAAGAAUUACAAAUUACAAAUUACAAAUUACAAAUGGGCAAAUUGUCUGGUCAAUUCUGAUCAUAUUGUAUGAAUGUCAAUUCAAUUAUAAACUUCAAUUCAGUGUUCAACAUUUGCAUGAAAUUUCAAUAUAAACAUCAUCACCAAGUUUCACUAAAAACCGCUAACGUGGCAAUGCGCAAUGUAAGAUAGCCGGCAACAACUAGACCACUAUGUUGGCAAAUUUCAACAAAAAUUGAUUAGAGUGAUCAUAUCGAAAUUUUGCGCAAAGUUUUAGAAUUAAAUCGAUAAAAUUAAAAGUUAAUUUACAUUAUUAGGACUGAUUGGGCAAUUUUCCCAUAAUGUCAUUCUACGCAUUCUAAUUAAAAAAACACGUUAAAAGGACACUUGUUAAGCAGCAGUAAGUGUGAUUAGAAGUGCAAAUCUAUGGAAUACAGAGUAGGUUGUUUUCAUGUAAUAUCCGCGAUGUCAAUUCUUUAAGUCUCUAGACAAAUCGUGUUUCUUCCUAUUUUCCCCUUAAUUAGUGUUGUGAAAUUAGUUUCACAUAAGUCAUUUUAGUUAAAUUAUAUAGUGUAAUUUCUACGGGAGUCUUAUUGUAGCCACACAUCAAGAGUAACCACUUAAAACACUUAAUAUCGAUGAUUAAAUAAGAUUAGUUAAAAGUAAUUAAGCAGAAAGGGGAGACCUGACUAAAAGCACUCUUUAAUUCGUAUUUUUCAUAGAGAAAUCUCUGAUCAACUUAUCUUUUCUUGAACAAUAACACGUUUACAAAAGAUGCACAAAAUUACACUAAAAACUACAGAUGAAACACAAACCGAUUCGCUUCCUAUAACAUUACUGACCAAAUCUAGCGUAACUUCCUACAAGUUUGCCUGCUUUGAUGAACACAAGAAAGAAACAUUCCAGUGGGAAGGAAAUAUACUGAUAUUUACAUCAAGCAAAUGAGCCCGCCCUUCAAACACGAGACAGAGCAUCCUCGAUGCGGUCAUCUUCCACCUUCUCCGAGCACAAGCUGGGAGGGACGUAAGCUCGGAAGAUGCGCUCCAUGUCCAGCGUCUCCUUCAGCUCGUGCGAGGCAACUUCCAGCGCUGGGCAGCAGAAGGAGCGAUAGAACUUCUUGUUACACACGUAGGCAAAGAUAAGGCUCGAGAUGACCAGCGGUAGCAGGAGAGGCGCAUAGUAGAAUUUCUUUGUCCCAAAGUAGGCAAGCAUAGUGAGCUGGUAAAGGACAAGAGAAGCUAGGAUUCGCAAAUGGAUGUGCGGCCACAUUCUUCCGUAACUCUCAUAGGAUGGAACAUAAACCUUAAGUGCCUGUCGACCAAAACGAUCAUAUGAAAGUUAAGGAAUGCUCUAGAAGAGGCAAAGAUGUGCAAAGUCUUUGACUUGAAACUAAAGUACGAUGUCGAGUUAGCCACUCAACCUGAUUUCGAAGAAUAAGCCAUCCUAAGCCGAAGUAUACAACACCAAAUGGGAUGAUCAGAGGAGCAAUGACAGAAUAGCAGAGGGUAAUCGUGACGAUCAGCAAGUCUCCGGGAACUCUGGUCGCGUAUCCUUGAUCUCCAGGAUACCAUGCUUCUUUGACUUCAGCUUCAGUCUUGCAAAGGUAUUUCCUCUUCAAGUGAAAAAUAAUCAGAGGAACGAUCCGAGAAAGCUCGAGACCGUAGCCAAUGAAGGACCUGAUGGCCAUUUCCCCAAAUUCAGACAUUAGCAUCAUCACUCUACCAAGAAAGCAGAGGAAAAAGUCCAUGCAAGAACUAUGAAGUGAAACGUAACCAUACUAUUGAUUUCAUGAUGGCCAUAGGAAACUGGAAUUCAUUUUAAGGAACAUAGAAACUACAAAUUAUGAGAAUAACAAACUGACCUAAUGCACACAUAAGCAAAUCCAACUCAAUUUUUUUUCUUUAUGUUCCCUUUCGCAUCAAAUUAAGAAUAUCAGAAUCUGUCACUCAGCAAGUUAGAAGUUAAUAGAAGACUGAGGAGGAACAAAAACAUCUUACCUCAAAGCAACAAAAGUGAGGAAAAAUGUUGCAUUAUCAGGUAGACUGGCCGCCAGUAUUGUGAGGAGAGAGUUGGGAUCUUUCUCAAUCUUCUUGAAUGUAGCAAACAAGGUUCCACCCACAGUAACGCCAAUAAACACAUUCAAACUUGUGAAGUAGAAGUAUUUUCCAGAGGCAGCACGUUCUAUAUGGCUCUGGGAAGGAAUCCCCUCUAGCUUGGACAGAAACAACAGCAACUUGGGCAACAAAGCCAGAAACACGAGGAGCACAAUCUGAGGGAGAUAAGCUUCCAACAAAGUUCUGAUCGUUGCAAUAUCCACAAUCGACUUCAAAAACGGGAGAUAUUUCUUCAGAUUUUCCAGAGUCGUAAAGGCAGAAACAAACGUGAUCGGAAUCAUGUAGAAGAAAAUGGUCAGAGCCACUAUAAUGUAGAUGACGUACUGCCGUAUCUGUCGCUGAAAAAACUUAAUCGCAAGAUUAGUCCAUAUGAUUUGACGAGGUUCAGGUGCAUCCAUCACAAUCCAUUUGUCAGGCAUUGUGGCAUGCAGGCUCUGUGCUGCAGAGGCUGCGGUCACCCUGUUAGUAAAGAAGACCAGAGCCGCUGCUUGCUGCUUAUCUCUCAAGGUGGCUAUCUGCUCAGCUUCAAGCUUUGGAGUCAGUUCACUGAUCUUCUCACUGUAGUAUUCUAUACUGUCCACCUUUUCCCCAAUAAGACCUAGGAAGCCGGUUUUGUUUGUGGGUCUUACUCCUUCCGGUUUGCCGGUUGUCUUUG
rnacentral:lncRNA from 1 species